rnacentral:lncRNA from 1 species
UCCGUUAGAUCCAAGUACUCUAAGUCUUUUCUUAGAGUCUCUUCCAAAGUUUUCCUAGGUCUUCCUCUACCCCUUCGGCCCUGAACCUCUGUCCCGUAGUCACAUCUUCGAACCGGAGCGUCAGUCGGCCUUCUUUGCACAUGUCCAAAUCACCGGAGCCGAUUUUCUCUCAUCUUUCCUACAAUUUCGGCUACUCCUACUUUACCUCGAAUAUCCUCAUUCCCAAUCUUAUCCUUUCUCGUGUGCCCACACAUCCCAC